GUACUCGCUUCGGCAGCACAUAUACUAAAAUUGAAAUGAUACAAAGAAGAUUAGCAUGGCCCCAAAGUGGUCUGAAAGUAUAGUUUAAGGUGGUCUGUUUUU